UACGUAGGGCGCAAGCGUUGUCCGGAAUUAUUGGGCGUAAAGGGCUCGUAGGCGGUUUGUCGCGUCAGGAGUGAAAACUCGGGGCUUAACCCCGAGCCUGCUUCUGAUACGGGCAGACUAGAGGUAUGCAGGGGAGAACGGAAUUCCUGGUGUAGCGGUGAAAUGCGCAGAUAUCAGGAGGAACACCGGUGGCGAAGGCGGUUCUCUGGGCAUUACCUGACGCUGAGGAGCGAAAGUGUGGGGAGCGAACAGG
rnacentral:rRNA from 1 species